rnacentral:tRNA from 1 species
GGGUCGUUAGCUCAGCGGGAGAGCGCUACCUUGACAUGGUAGAGGUCACUGGUUCAAUCCCAGUACGACCCACCA